rnacentral:lncRNA from 1 species
ACAAGACAAAAUAUAAAGUACCAAUCAGAGUACACAACAAUAUACCAAAGUACUACAACUCAGAUACAAACGCAGGAUCAGAUUCUGUAGUCGAGUUUCACAUCGAAGCUUUAAUGUGAGGAAUGAAGUUUCAUGAUAUCAGUUACAUAAUGUUUAUAUUUAAACAUGAACACUUGUAAUAUAAACAGUACUUGUGUUAAUGUGAGUCAUGAAGUGGGGAAGUGUCAGCUGAUAUGUGUUAGUUACAUGUUUAACACAACAUAUAAUUGUGUUAAUGUGAGUCAUGAAGUGGGGAAGUGUCAGCUGAUAUGUGUUAGUUACAUGUUUAACAACAUGUAAUUGUGUUAAUGUGAGUCAUGAAGUGGGGAAGUGUCAGCUGAUAUGUGUGAGCUGUUUAUUUGAGCCUGUUCACCUUCAUGCAGGAGUUCAUUAGAGCUCGUCUUCACUGAACACAUGAAUACUUGCUGCAGUGUGUCGAUGUGUUUCACAGAAGAAGUUCUGCAGUAUGUGGAAGGUGGAGCUCAAUAUUCAAAAGAGUGCAGAAGUUAUUGGAUGCAGAUUGUCAGUCAUUAAAAUAAGAAGCAGCAGGUGGAGCCAGACACACACACACAGACUGACAGACAGUUCAACAGUCACUGCUCCUACUGUCGAAUCAAAACAGCAAUCUUCUAAUUAAAUGGAUAUAUUUAUUAACGUGAUAAGUCAAACAUAGAAAAUACUCUCAGCUGAGGACACAAUCACAUCACCGUUACCACAGACUGCACGGCUAAGAUGCAUCCAGGUUGCUGUCUGACGGGUCGCUCAGGUGUGUACAAAGAGUUGUAAAACAUCACAUCUAACACAUGGAGGAGGCGUUGACCUUCUCCUCAUUGGUCCCCGUUGGCGCCAUCACGCUCCUCCGUCAGCAGAGUCAGGAAGUGAUGGUUGUUGACCUCUUAAAGGGGAAGUGUUCCUAUUGUGUUUACAGUCGAUAUUGUGUUUGUAAUACAUACAGUGCAGAAAAUGCAUAAUAGUGCAGAAACACAUUCAUAGAGGUAGACAAAUACAUAUGAUAUUCUUUCAAGUGUGGAUUAAUACAAUCAGGAGUAAUUUACUUCACAACACAGACUUGUUUCCCAGCUUCAUCUCCUCCUGCCAUGCUACGGAUCACUAUAUUGCCUCGCCUAACAGUUCUCCAUCUCUGUCCAUGGCUAACGGCUAGCCCCAGACUAAAACCUGUGGCAACCGGCAUGAUGUCCAAUUAUUCCAUCCCGCUAUUAUUUCUGACAUUAUCAUGACACCAACCUGAAAGGCAAUGUUGAAUUCAACUAAAGGCUUAAGGGCAACAUUUAGGAACAUAAAAUAUGUUCUCAGUAACUGGAUCACAGAGAUGAACUUUGGCAUUCUUCUCCACAUCCUCAUGACUCUGAAAGUAUAGAGAUAUAGGGAAGCAAUAUAGUUUAUUACAACAUCUCCGGCGUCAGUAAGGCCAUUAUGAACGAGUAUAUUUGAAAAGGUCAGUCUUACCCUUGACUCCCUCAU